rnacentral:rRNA from 1 species
CUAGAGGAAACUCUAGCUAAUGCCGGAUGAGACCACGAUCCCUUCGGGGGUUGCGGCAAAGAUGGCCUCUACUUGUAAGCUAUCGCUGAGGGAUGGGGCCUGCGGGCCAUUAGCUUGUUGGUGAGGUAACGGCUCACCAAGGCUGUGAUGGCUAGCUGGUCUGAGAGGAUGACCCAGCCACACUGGGACUGAGACACGGCCCAGACUCCUACGGGAGGCAGCAGUGGGGAAUAUUGCGCAAUGGGCGAAAGCCUGACGCAGCGACGCCGCGUGGGUGAUGAAGGCCUUCGGGUCGUAAAGCCCUGUCGCAGGGGGAAGAAUAAGCAUCGGUAUAAUACGCCGGUGCCCUGACGGUACCCUGCAAGAAAGCACCGGCUAACUCCGUG